CUCAGCGCUGAAAUUCUCAUCCGCCACACACAACAUGGCGGCUUCCUGGACCCGUACCCAAUUUUCGCUUCCGGGAUGGAAGCUUACGUCAUCUCCCCCUCUGUUGCCUCAGCGCCCCUUGGAAGCCAAGAACGUGAGGGAGUCUUCUUCCUUCGCGCCUUCCUCUUCCUUCUUCUUGUUUCCGCUCCAGGGCAGCCUGACAGAGCCGCUCCAAGGUUCUGCUGGCCGUGGCUAGUCGGGUGCAGCAGAAGUCCCAGGUAGCUGAGAAGUUCAUGGAAUCUUCUUAUUUGGUACACCUUUCUCUAUUGCUUGUGAUAUAGUGCAGGGUUGGGAUGUGCAGACGUUUCUCAAAUGCACUGUGUACCUACACAGCGUGCUGCAAUUUGGCUACUGAAGUCAAGAGAAACUGGUUUGAACAACUACUGAGUGUAACAUAGGAAGUACAUUUCAUUUGAUAACAGGAGCAUAGCUUUUGUGCUAAUAAAAUGCUUUGAAAAUUAGUGUGUGGUCUUUAGUAAUUAGCAUAUACAUUUUAGUUAUCCAUUGGUUCAUAACAAAUGGACUCAAUAGGUACCCCACUCAGUCAUUUAUCUAAAUGAAAAGUUUGGUUAAAUUGUGUUGUGGGCAUUGAUCAAAGCUAAUGGGAAAAAGAGAUUAAGAUGAAAAUCAUGGGAUUAAAUUUUUAAUUAGUUUGCCCCUUGGACCAUUGCUUGGUAUGACACCGUGAUUGAUUGGCUACUUAUGCCUGCCUGGGAAGAUAUGGCUCUACUACCAAACCUCUGAACGUAAAAGUGUUUUGCAAAAAAACUGAAUAUUUUAUUCAGUUAUCUUUCACUUUAUUCCUGCUUAACAAGGAAUUGGAAAGGAAGGCAAGGUCUUGGAUCUCAUAGUUCUUGGUAUAGUAAUAGAUAUAAAGUAUGAGAUGGGGGCUACAGGUUCAUUAAUAAAUAUCUCAAAUUAACAUGUUUGUCAAACUCUUCCUUUCCUGCUCCCAAUCUCCUCCUCUCCCAGGGCUCCUUAUGUCAACUAAUGGUGCCAUCAUCAGUGCACUCAAGGCAAAAACCUGGGAACGAUCUUGAUUCCCUCUUUCAUUCUCCACAGGUCACCCAUCAACAAAUUAUAUCUGCUUCUAAAAUAUAUCCUAAAUCCAUUCACUGUUCUUAUCUCUACCACCCUAACCCAGGCAUCAUCAUCCUUUACCUGGUUAACUGCAAUAUCCUUUUCAUUUAACCUCCCUGCUUCUAAUCUUCUGACCCAUUUUCACCAUCACAGUCCAUUCAUUUGUAUGUCGAGUUCUUCUUAUCCAUGAGUUCAUUAUUUCUUAAUAAAGGGUAACAUUUUUUUUUAGUGUCUACCAUGUUCCACCACACAGUAGCAGCCAAAAUAUUUGUUUAAAAUAUAAGUUAGAUUCUAUCACUUUUGUAUCUAGAAUUAUUGUGUUCCCCCACUAAUUACUGUACCCUACAUGAUCUGGAUUCAAUCUGGUACCACUCUGUACCCCUUCACUCACUAUAAUCCAGACAUACUAUCUUUCUCUCUUCAACCUGCCAAGUUUUAUCCUGCCUUAGGGUCCUUGCACUAACUGUUCCCUUUGCUGGAACCCUCUUCACCCAGGUAUUGCAGAGCUGGCCCUCUCUUGUUUAGGGCUGAACUUAAAUGUGACCUCUUCAAAUAAGCCCUCCCUUGACCACCCAAACUCAUGCACCCUCCUGUUACUCCCUGUCACAUCAUCCUGAAUUCAGUUUCACGACAACACUCAUCAUUACUGCUAUUUUCUUGUAUCUUCCUUUGUUUCUUGACUGUCUGCUCCCAUUAAUAUGUAAGCUCCAUGAAAAUAAACAUCUUUUCUAUAUUGUAUGAUUGUAUCUCCAGAACCUCAAAUAGUCUCUGACAUAUGAAUGAAUGAAUGCAUGCAUGCAUGAAUGGAUUCUGCUUCCCCAAAGCUGCUGCCUGUCAUCUCAGGUACAUUGAAACAGGAAGGCUGGUAAAGGCCAGGAGGUCAAAUGCUACAUAGAAUGGAGCCUGAAGCACAAGAUGUGGGCAAAGACACAGUGGACAGGGGCAAGAAAAGCAUUUGGGGUGGAGGGCAGAGAACCCAGGAAGGAACAUGGAAAUGACAUAGAACAACUCUACAGACACGUCCUAGACAUCUUAAGACUUGUACAAGCACCUGUGUGCCCGCACAUACACACAUACCAGCUUGAAGAAUCUUGUCUCAGCACAUGCUCUGUACUUGAGUCUUAGAAAACACUUUUCCUGGUAAAGAUGUUUAGGCUUCAGCGUUAAGGAGUCUGAUUCAGAGGUCUACGUGGGGCCCAUGUGGCUGUUGCUGCGUAAUAGUUGUAAACUGGUCUCAUUCUUGGUCAGGACAAUAAGGCUGCAGUAAAUCAUAGCAGCUGGGAGAAAGCAGUGUGGUAUUCUGCAGUGGUUCUGUUCACCACUACAUAGGCUGAGCCUAAGCAACUUUCCCUUCCUGGACCCUCAUUCUGCUCAGAUACAAAGUGAAGGCUUACUUGGGCUCCUGUGCAGCUUUAAAAGUGGAACUUAACUGAAAUUGGGCAGGUGGGCUGCGCUCCUUCUAAAGAGCAAGAGGCCCACUGUUUAGAAAAUAUUAAACCUUGGGUUACACCUCAAUUUGGCAGUUACACUUACAUGACACAUUAUUUCUAAAGAGCCAUCUAAUUUUAUGCCAUCUGAUGUUUAUAUUGAUAACUGGUGAAAAUACGGGAACUUUUUAUGCCACUGUGAAACUACGAUGAAGUGACUCAAAUUUAUUGUCUCACUCUAGGUUGGAUUUGAAGGGAUAAGGAUGAGAGAGAGAAAAUACUAUCAGUACUGAGGUUAAAAAAUGAAAAAGAAAAAAAAAAGGAGCUUAGACUUUAAUCUUUUCAUAAAUCUUCCUCAUCCCCAAUUGUUCAGCCGAAUUCAGAAGGAUUAGCUUUCUGUCUUCCAUGAACCUUUUGGUUGGAACUUUAGUCAGUCUUUUUCCCCAUUGAGGCUACCCUCGAUGUUUAACCAAAAAAAAUAAAAAAAAGAACUACAAACUUUAUUCAGAUCCAGUUCAGGGUUCCACAUAGCAUUUAGUUUUUAUGUCUUCUCCAAUCUGUGAUGGUUCCUCAUUAUUUCCCUGUCUUUCGUGACCUUAACACUUUUUAAGAGUACUGCUCAGUUAUUUUUUAGACUGUUACUCAGUUUGGAUUUGUCCAGUGUUUUCUCAUGAUUAGACUUUGGUUUUGAAGUUUCUCCAUGCAUCAUAUUGGAGUACAUAAUGUCAAUAUGUCUUAUUACUGGUGCUGUUAAUAAGACACAUUGCUGUCGAUGACAUCUGAUCACUGAUUAAGGUGGCAUCUGUCUGGUUUUUCCACUGCAAAGAGGAGAAUUCUAUUUGUGUUAAUAUACAUUUGGAGAGAGAUGCUGUGAGAUUACCUUGGCCUUAUUUGUAGCCAGAUUUUCUUUACAUGUGUGUUGGGAUGGAGGGGUGAUGGGAGGUGGGAAGGGGUGGACCAUGUGAUCUGUUCAGUCUGUACAUCCCAAGUACAAAUCAGAGCUUGCUAUGAUUAUGCCACACAAAGAAGGGAAGAAACCUUUGCACUAUAAUAAAUAGCUGGGGGUACAUCUUGAUAUGCAUAAAGGAAAAUGUGAUAUGGCCUGUUUUUAUUGUGUGUGUGGAGGUGUGUGUUGUUCGUUGAAUCGAGUUCUUCUUAUCCAUGAGUUGAUUCUUAAUAAAGGGUAACAUUUUUUGAGUGUCUACAAUGUUCCAGGCACUGUACUAGGCUCUGCAUCUCUUAUCUCAGUUCAUACAACACUGUAAAGUAGACAUCAUUAGCUGUUUUACAAAUAAGGAUGCCAAGGCUCAUGGAAGUAAGUUACUCAAAGGCAAGUGGCAGAACUGAACCUUGAACUCAGGCUUGUCUGACUCAAAAGUGUGUGCUAUUUCCAAAGCACCAAGUUUGCUUUCCUACUGUGUGCCAGGCCCUUCAAUUAGUGCUAGAGAUGCAGAAGUAUGAGACAGAUGUUCAAGAAGCUCACACCUACCGCACAGGGACCUUAGGAAGAGGCACCAAGGGCCUGGGAAGGAACCUUUAUUAUGGGCAUCAUCCUUGUUUUCUCAGUGACGAUCCCUUGUCUUGAAAAUCACUGAAAUGGUUUUUCUCAGGCCUUUAAUGAGUCAGGGUGGAUUUGCCAGGUUGCCCUCAGCUACAAAUGGCUGAACAGAGGAGGGAACUAAUAGUGAUGCAAUGCCUGCUCUGCUUGUCACUGACUGUUAUUCAUCUCAGCCCUGCCAUGAGUGAGUAUAUUAUUUUCUCCACUAAGUACAUGAGGCAUCCAAGACCCAAAGAAGCUAAAUAAUAUCAUCCCCAAAGUCACCAGCUAGUAAAUGGCUAGCCAGGAGUUUGAUCCCAGAUCUAACUGAUUCCACAGCCAGUGUCCGAUCUCAGUGCCCCUUGAUAUGCCAGGGGUACAGAUUCCAGCAUCCUUGCUGCAACGUGGCUAUGCAUCCGCUGCCUUCUCAUAUGUAGAAGGGGUGGUCAUGUUUACAUAGUGCCUGAUGGACAUUGACAACGGUUCAUUUGUACCAAGCUUUUUUUUGCUUAAGCCAAAGGAUGUUUGGGCAGCUUUUGCUUUUUUUUUUUUUUUUUUUUUUCAUCUCCCCACAACAGUCAGUCCAUAUCAACAGGGCAAAUGGAAAGUGAUGAUUCUGAGUCAUUUGUGACAUAUAAAAUGCUACUGUGUAAACAAAUGUGCUUCCCUAAGAGAGAUGGCAUAUGGCAAGUCAGGUCUCUUUGCCCCUGGCUUUUGAUGAGAGGGUUUAGUUCCUCAUAUAAGCAGUGCUUAAUAAAUAGCAUUUCAUGUGGCUGCUAAUAGUUUGUGGUCUUCCUGUCUCCAGGCAUUUGCUGAACUGUGUAGUGAAGAAGGGGACAGAAAAAAAUCCUUCAUUCCCCUGCCUGUCCCAUUUGGCAGCUCCCUAGAUUCUCUCAGAUCAGUGUCCUUUCUAUUUGCUAUUUUUGAAAAUGUGAAAGCAAAGUGAGGUCACUGCAUUGGAGUAGUUGGAAAAGAAAAGGAGACUAAUGAUUAGCAAUCCCAGGGAUUAGGAUGGGGAGAGCAGGUGGCAAUCUGGUUUAUUAAAAUUACUCCGUUUGGUUCCUACCAUAUAGAACUGAGGUUCACUGAUUAUCUUGAUUUUGCUGCUAUUGUCCUGCUAGAGGCAGUGAGAAUGAAUGACCAAAAGGUGAGAUUAGCAGUAGAUGGAAAGAAAAAAAAGGAAUUGGAAGUUGUUUUUGAUUUCCCUAUCUUAGUUUGGAUUCUCCCAGACCAUAUCCAGAGGCAAGGAUUCAAGCAUAAGCAAUUUAUUUGGGAGGUUCAGGAACCAUUGGCAGGGAAUUGAGAACAAGCUGGGAAGGGAGAAGGGCCAAUCAAGGAUUGCUACUCCUGUGGAAGACUGGAGCUCAGUUCCACUGGUGAACCCUGGGAAUGGUGGUGUAGAGCACAUAUGUCAGAAUGAUCUGUCUUCCCACUCCCACUCAGGGAAGGGAGCUGAGGUAUUUAUACACCAACUUCUGAGUGUCGGUGAUUAACAGCUGCUCCCUUGUGGUGUGCUGGGCACACAGGCAGAGUGGUUCUCUGCAGUUUAGGAGAAAACCCUCAGGCAAAGAGAUGCAAAUGCUGCAGUUAAAAGUCAACCAGUGUGCACUGAUGUGGUAAAGCCAGAGGGAUAUGGGCUGGGUAUCAACAGCAUCUGCUAUGUUCCCUUAAAACAAAACAAAACACCCAUUCCUCCCCCAGUAUUUCUGUACCACUAAAUAGCACCAACAUUUACUCAGGUUCUUAUGCCAGAAGACCUUGGAAUCUUCCCUGAUGCUUUUUGCUCUUACCUUAUGUUCAGUCAUGAACUCCAUCUUAAAAAUACACCUUGAAUUGUACUGCUUCUCACCAUCCCCACCAUCAUCUUUCAUUGGGUUUCUGCGACAGUGUCUUAGCUCAAAUUCAUAUUUACACUCAUUCCCCUGACGUGGUAGCCAGAGUGAUUUUUUUAAACCUGAAUGAGAUCAUUUUACCCUACCCCACCAGCUCAAAACUAUGCAGUGGCCCCUCAUCACUCUUAGAAUAAAAUCAGAAGUCUUUACUGUGCCCCAAAAGACCCUCCAUGAUCUAGUCUGACUUCAUCCCUGACUUCAGUUUCCAUCUGUUCUCCUCUUUGCUCACAGUGCUCCUGCUAGAUGGCUUUUCUUGCUGCACUCCUGCCUCAGGGCCUUUGCAUUUGCUCUUUCAACAUAGAACUACUCCAGAUACUCAUAUCACUCAAUCCUCUCAAUCACUCAGCAUCUGCUCAAAUGUCACCUCUUUAGGAAAGACUUUUCUUAAUACUCUGUCUAGAAAAGAGCCUUUUGUCACUCUAUUCUUUAAUCUUUUAUUAAUUUUUCCAUAGAUCAUGACCUGAAUAAUAUUAGUUUCUAUUUUAUUUGUCUGUUGCCUGUCUCUUGCAUUAGAAUGUAAGUACCAUGAGCACAAGGACCUUGAGUCUCUGCAUUGCUCCCAGCUCCUAAAAGAGUGUGACACAUAGUAGGUAUUGACUGAAUGAAUGGAUUAAUAACCAUUUACUGGUCCUGCUGAGAGGACCCAUCUGUUAAAAUUUUUCAGAACAGACAGGAGAAACUUGAAACCUUGGUUUGAUAACUGCCUGGCUGCCUCUUUUCCCAGAGCUGGCUCUAAUGAAGAAUAAACACUCUUAACAGAGACGGUUGAAGGUCCUGGGAUUACUUCCAAUAUGUUCUUUCCUGACGUCCACUGCAAAUCUUAACUUGUUCAUUUUUCUUUUUGUUUGCCUUUCUGAAAACAAUGGAAGGAAAAUUGAAGGAAUCAAUGUGCUACAUUUCAUAUAUGAUGAUUGGGACAAAGUGUAGUCUUAAUUUUAAAAAAAAUGAUCUAGAAUACAAAGUUGGUUAUUUCCCCCUAGUGCCUGGCACAUAGUAUGUGCAUACUAAAUGUCGAGUGAAUUUGCAAUGUCAUCUAUUUGAUGUUAUUAAGUUUUCAUUGUGUAUUAAUUGUUCUGUAGAAAGUAUUGGAUUAGAGGGUCCACAGCCUUAAACAUACCAAAGAGUGGGAGGAUUUUCUCCAUCACUGCCCCCAACCCAGAAAACCCUUAGCCUGAUGAUCCAUGCCCAUUCCUUCUCAUACGUACCAGCCCAUGAUCCUAAAAAUAGUCAGUAGAAUCAGUUCUAUUUUUUUGUGUGGUUUAAUUUAAUCCAUUAUAAAAGUAAUGCAGGUUAAUUUUAGAAAGUUUUUUAAUUACAGAAAAGUAAAAGAGACGAAGAAAAAAGUAUGUGGUUCUACCACCCAGAGAUAACCACUGUUAAUAUGCUGGUGUAUUCCCUUCCAGUGUUUUCUAUGUGUAUUUUUUACACAAAUUGAAUAUACAAUUGUAUUUCUCUCAAUAUCAUAACAUAAGCAUUUAUUCUUGGUAUUAAUACUAUGAAUAUCUCCUUUAAUAGUUGCGUACUAUUACAUUUUUCCUGUUUUAGACCAUUUAGUGUUUUUUUUUUUUUUUAAAUUAUAAGUAAUGCUGGAUAAAUAUCCUCAUCUUUGCUGGCAUUCUUGAUUUUUUUUUUAGGAUAGAGUCCCAGAAAUGGUGUAACUUAUUCUAAAGGAGACAAACUCUUAAUACAUUUUGUGAGAUUUCAUUUUGAUUUCUAAAACCGUUUGAAUGUGACUUCCAUAAAAGAGCUCUAGAAAAGCAGAUUGCCUCAAAGAAUUUACUUCCAGUUUUGCAAUAUUUCAGACAUAGAGUGUUUUAGCAUUCAGUUUAAAUGAGCACAGAAAUCUUCUGUAGGCUGUCUCCUCUUCAGGCCUCUUCUCUCUCUAAUAAAACGCAGCAUCGGCUUUAUAAAAAUCUUUCUUUGGUAAACAACGUCUUUUUGUGUUCUCAAGGAUUGUUUUCCUAAGUCUUUCUGGCGGGUAUUGGGUUUAUGCCUAGAAUUAUGUGUCGUAUUUUUGCUUGCCUGUUUAUGAUGUCUUAAGGGUUUAGUUAUGCUUUGUGUUUUGUUUUUUUUCACUGCCAAAGGAAGUCCAGAUUUCAUGGCAGUGAAACCGGCUUUUACAAGUCUCUCCGGGUCUUUCCUGAAAGGCCGGGAGAUUACCUUGGCAGGGACUGUUCUCGAGAACAUUGCAUGAGUAAGGAGUCUCCUCUCCAAGGCUAAGCCAUCCUGGAAAGGGCCUUGCCAAAGAUAAGCGGUUUAUCAAUGGAGGGAAACCAUGUCAUUCAUAGAUAUGAGAGGCCAGGCGUGCCAUCUAGGAGGGUCAGGAUAUAGGAUGGCUUAGUAAAUAUGUCUCAGUCAUACUACAUAAUAUUAUGCAUGCAACAUUAUUGAAAAGAAUGAAUCAGACAUCUUUGUCUUACCUGAAAAGACCUCCAUGAUAUUUUGUUAAUUCUGAAUAACAAAAUGUAGAGAAAUGUGUAUGGUGUGAUCUCAUAUUUGAAAAAAAAAAAAAAAGGCAAAAAUCAUGUUUAA